UGUGAUUUAUGAAUUCAGAGUCAUUGCUAC
rnacentral:piRNA from 1 species